AUGGUUCUUCCGGAGCCUCGGCAACCAGAAGGAGAAGACAUGAAGAAGGAAAGAGUUGCAGUCAGUGCUCCUUUCACCUGGAUUGCAUGGAACUUUGCUAAUCGCCCCGAGGAGGCGAAUGAGGACGAGAUCAACACAUAUGCUCGUGUGUACAUGUGGUACGUUAUAUCCAGGACUAUGUUUGCUGAUGGCACAGGCAAGAAUGCUCCAUGGAUGUGGCUGAAGGCGUUGACCGUCUUCAAUAGCAAAUGGAGUUGGGGUUCGGCUACACGGGCUUACUUGUAUAGAUAG
rnacentral:rRNA from 1 species